GUUCCCGAGUCGGCUUCUGCAGGCCUGGCUGCUGCUGCCUCCUCCCCCUGGCCUCGGGAGGCACAAGCAUUGGGUCCUGAAGUCGGCCUCUCCAGGCCCAGCUCCUACUCUCCUGGCGUCUCCUUCCCAUUGGUGGCAAACUUCCUCACAUGGGUGCCUCCAGGGCCAGCUGCUGUCUCCCAACGGCCCCCUGGGGCCCAGCUUCUGCCUCCCCUCAGCCUCUCUGGGAGGUCCAGCCUAUGUCUUCCUUCUGGUGGCCUCCCCAGGCCCGGAUCCUCCUCCUGGCCUCGUCUACUGGACCACAUCCUGCCUCUCGAUAGCUGCUUUUCGCUCAGCUCCUGAUCAGCUUCCAGUGGCCUUUCUUCUGUAGGCCCGAAGCUUUCUCAAGUGGGGCUUUCCCGGCCUCCAUUCUGCCUCCUGGUGGCCUUGACAGGCCCUGCUACCACCUGACAUUGGCCCCUCUGGGCCCAGCUCUGGACUCUCCGCAGCCUCCCCAGCACCAGCUGCUGCCUCCUGGUGGCUUCCCCAGACCAAGAUCGUGCCUGCCUGCAUUCUGGCUGCAUCCACAGGCCCAGCACCUCCCUCACAGUGGCCCAUUGGGGCCCAGCUCGUGCCUGUGGCAAACCUCUUUGGACCCAGCUCUUGCCUCACUCUUGGCUUGAGUCUAGGCCCAGGCGCUCCCUCGCAGGGGUCUUCCUCAGCCCAGCUCGCCUAUCACGGACUCUUUGAGGCCAGCUCCUGCCUCCCGGCUUCCCCAGGCCCAGCUCCUGCCUGCGCCAGGCCCAUACUGGGCCCAGCCUCUGCCUUUCAGUGGACCCUCUGUGGCUUGGCUCCUCCAUAGCUCCUGGAGGCCUUUUUAGGCCCAAAAGCUCAGGCCCUCGACUCAGGCUCUCCAGGACUACCCAGCUCAUGCCUCACACUGGCCUCUCCAGGCUCAGCUUCUGCCCACCCAGUGUUCCUAUAGGCCCCAGAUGUCUCAGAGUCGGCUUCUCCAGGCCCGGUUUCAGACUCCUCCUAUUGGCUUCUGCAGGCCCAAGCAUUGGGUUCUCAAUUCGGCCUCUCCAGGCCCAGCUCCAGUUUUCCUGGUGUCUCCUCCCCAUGGGUGCAAACGUCGUCACGUGGGUUCUUCUAGGGCCAGCUCAUGCCUCCCAAAGGCCCCCUGGGCUUAGCUCCUGCCUCCCAUCAGCCUCUCCUGAAGGCCCAGCAUCUGCCUCUGUACUGGCGGCCUCUCAAGGCCUGGAUCCUCCUCCUGGCCACAUCUACGGGCCCAAGUUUUGCCCCCGGCAGCCUCUUUUUUUUUUUUUUUUUUAAGAGAUGGAGUUUUGCUCUUGUUUCCCAGGCGCAGGUACAAUGACGUGAUCUCAGCUCACCUCAACCUCCGCCUUUUGGAUUUAGGCAAUUCUCCUUCCUCAGCCUCCUGAGUAGCUGGAGUUACAGGCACACGCCACCAUACCCAGCUAAUUUCUUUUUCUUUAUGUUUUGAGACAGAGUUUCGCUCUUGUUACCCAGGCUGGAGUAGAAUGGUGCGAUCUUGGCUCACCGCAACCUCUGCCUCCUGGGUUCAGGCAAUUCUCCUGCCUCAGCCUCCUGAGUUGCUGGGAUUACAGGCACACGCUACCGUGCCCAGCUAAUUUUUUUUUUUUUUUUUUUUUUUGAGACAGAGUUUUGCUCUUGUUGCCCAGGCUGGAGUGCAAUGGCACGAUCUCGGCUCACAGCAAACUCUGCCUCCUGGGUUCAGGCAGUUCUUUUGCCUCAGCCUGCUGAGUAACUGGGAUUACAGGCACGCACCACCAUGGCCAACUAAUUUUUUUUGUUUUUGAGACGGAGUUUUGCUCUUGUUUCCCAGGCUGGAGUGCAAUGGCAUGAUCUCAGCUCACUGCAACCUCUCCCUCCUGGGUUCAGGCAAUUCUCCUGCCUCAGCCUGCUGAGUAGCUGGGAUGACAGGCACGCACCACCAUGCCCAGCUAAUUUUUUGUAUUUUUAGUAGAGACGGGGUUUCACCAUGUUGACCAGGAUGGUCUCGAUCUCCUUGACCUCGUGAUGCACCUGCCUCGGCCUCCCAACGUGUUGGGAUUACAGGCGUAAGCUACUGUGCCUGGUCCCCAGCAGCGUCUUUUGGCUUGGCUCCUGGCCAGCACCCGGAGUUGUUUUGUCUGUCGGCCCAAAGCUUCCUCAGUGUCCCUUCUGUUGAGGCCACCGGGAGGCAGAAGGGACGCCCAGAAGGCCGCACCUGAGGAAGCUUUGGGCCGACAGACGAAAGGCCUCUGGGAGCUGGCCGGUAGUCGAGCCAAAAGAGGCUGCCAGGGGCAAAACUUGGGCCUGUAGAUGUGGCCAGGAGGAGGUGCCAGGCCUGGUGUGGCUGCCAGUAGGGAGGCAGAGGCUGGGGCUCCUGGAGAGGUCACCUGAUGGGAAUCAGGACCUGGGUUCCAGGGGCCACUGGGAUGCCAGAGCUGGCCCCGGAGGGGACCAUGUGAUGAUGUAUUGUGCCCAUGUUGGGGGGUGCCGCCGGGAGGGCAGGAGCUGGACCUGCAGACGCGGACAUCAUUACCCGGUGCUUGGGCCUCCCGAGGCCAGCAGGAGGACAAAGCAGGACUGGGCCUCAGGGCUGAGCUCUGGAGUCCCCCCAGCCUCCCCAGCCCCAGCUGCUGCCUGCUGGCUGCUUCCGCAGGCCAAGAUCUUGCCUGCCUGCCUGCAUCCCGGCUGCAUCCACAGGCCCAGCGCCUCCCUCACACUGGCCAGUUGAGGCUCAAUUCAUGCCUUUGCAGGACGUCUCUGGAGCCAGCUCUCCCCUGGUGCUGGCCUUGAGUCUGGACCCAAGUCCUCCCUCGCACCAGCCGUUCUUGGCCCAGCUCGCCUCUCAUAAACUCUGGCCAGCUGCUGCCUCCCAGCGGCCUGUCCAGGCCCGAAGCUUCCUCCGGGCCCCGCCUCUCCAGGCCUGGCUUUUGCCUGUGCUAGGCCCCUCCGGGCCCAGCCUCUGCCUCUCAGUGGACCCUCCAGACCCAGCUUGUGGCCUCAUCAUGGCCUCUCCUCAGCCCAGCUCCUGCCUCUGUGGCAGCCUGUCCUCACAGGCCCAGCUUGUAGCCUCCCAGUGGCCCCAGGCGGCCCUUCCAUGCCCAGCGUUGGCCUUCUGGCAUCCUCUCCUUGUCCAGAGUGUCUUCAGGUCAGCCUCUUGGGGCCAAGCCCCUCCUUCCGGCGACUUCUAAGGGCCAACCUUCCAAUCUCGCCUCGCAGCAACCUUUAUGGACUCGGCUCCUCCCCAGCUCCCGGAGGCCUUUGCAGGAUCGAAAGCUCAGGCCCGUGACUCAGGCUCUCAAGACUACCCAGCUCAUGCCUCACCCUGGCCUCUCCAGGCUCAGCUUCUGCCCAGCCAGGGUUCCUACAGGUUCCAGAUGUCCCAGAGUCGGCUUCUCCAGGCCCGGGUCCGGACUCCUCCUAUUGGCUUCUACAGGCCCAAGCAUUGGGUUCUCAAUUCGGCCUCUCCAGGCCCAGCUCCAGUUCUCCUGGCAUCUCCUCCCCAUGGGUGCAAAACAUUGUCACAUGGGCCCUUCUAGGGCCAGCUCAUGCUUCCCAAAGGCUCCCUGGGCUUAGCUCCUGCCUCCCAUCAGCCUCUCCUGGAGCCCCAUCCUCUGCCUCCGUACUGGCGGCCUCUCCAGGCCUGGAUCCUCCUCUUGGCCAUGUCUACGGGCCCAAGUUUUGCCUCUGGCAGCCUCUUUUUUUUUUUUUGAGAUGGAGUUUUUCUCUUGUUACCCAGGCGUGAGUGCAAUGACCUGAUCUGGGCUCACCUCAACCUUUGCCUCUUGGGUUCAGGCAGUCCUCCUGCCUCAGCCUCCUGAGUAGCUGGGAUUACAGGCAUGCACCACCAUGCCCAGCUAAUUUUUUGUAUUUUUUUUUUUUUUGAGACCUAUUUUCGCUCUUGUUACCCAGGCUGGAGUGGAAUGGUGUGAUCUCGGCUCACCACAACCUCCGCCUUUUGGGUUCAGGCAAUUCUCCUUCCUCAGCCUCCUGAGUAGCUGGGAUUUCAGGCACCCGCCACUGUGCCCAGCUAAUUUUUUUUUUGGUUUUUUUGAGAUGGAGUUUUGCUCUUGUUGCCCAGGCUGGAGUGCAAUGGCAUGAUCUCGGUUCACCACAAUGUUUGCCUCCUGGGUUCAGGCAAUUCUCCUGCCUCAGCCUCCUCAGUAGCUGGAUUACAGGCAUGCACCACCAUGCCCAGCUAAUUUUUGUUUUUUGUUUUUUGUUUUUUUUUGAGACCUAUUUUCACUCUUGUUACCCAGGCUGAAGUAGAAUGGCGUGAUCUCGGCUCACCACAACCUCCGCCUUUUGGGUUCAGGCAAUUCUUCCUCAGCCUCCUGAGUAGCUGGGAUUACAGGCACGGCCACCAUGCUCAGCUAAUUUUUUUAUUUAUAUUUUUGAGUUGGAGUUUUGUUCUUGUUGCCCAGGCUGGAGUGCAAUGGCAUGAUCUCGGUUCACCGCAAUGUCUGCCUCCUGGGUUCAGGCAAUUCUCCUGACUCAGCCUCCUGAGCAGCUGGGAUUACAGGCACGCGCCACCAUGCCCAGCUAAUUUUUUGUAUUUUUAGUAGAGACGGGGCUUCACCAUGUUGACCAGGAUGGUCUCGAUCUCCUGACCUCGUGAUCCACCCGUCUCGGCCUCCCAAAGUGCUGGGAUUACAGGCGUGAGCCACUGCACCUGGUCCCCAGCAGCGUCUUUUGGCUCGGCUCCUGGCCAUCUCCUGGAGGCCUUUCAUCUGUCGGCCCAAAGCUUCCUCAGGUGGCACCUUUCGGGAAUCCCUUCUGCCUCCCGGUGGCCUCAACAGAAGGGACACCUAGAAGGCCCCACCUGAGGAAGCUUCGGGUCGACAGACGAAAGGCCGAGCCAAAAGAGGCUGCCUGGCGCAAAACUUGGGCCAGUUGAUGUGGCCAGGAGAAGGUUCAGGCCUCGUGAGGCUGCCAGUAGGGAGGCACAGGCUGGGCCUCCUGGAGUGACUGCCUGAUGGGAACAGGACCUGGGCCCCAUGGGGCCACUGGGAUGCAGGACCUAGCCCCGGAGGGGACCACGUGAUGAUGUAUUGCACCCAGGUUGGGGGGUGCCGCCGGGAGGGCAGGAGCUGGACCUGCAGAUGCGGACUUCAUGACCCAAUGCUUGGGCUUCCCGAGGCCAGCAGGAGGACAAAGCAGGACUGGGCCUCAGGGCCGAGCUCUGGAGUCCCCGCAGCCUCCCCAGUCCCAGCUGCUGCCUGCUGACUGCUUCCGCAGGCCAAGGUCUUGCCUACCUGCAUCCUGGCUGCAUCCACAGGCCCAGCACCUCCCUCACACUGGCCAGUUGAGGCUCAGUUUGGCCCGAAGCUUCUCAAGUGGGGUUUCUGCCUCCAUUCUGCCUACCAGUGGCCUUCACAGGCCCUGCUACCGUCUGACAUUGGCCCCUCUGGACCCAGCUCUGGAUUCUCUGCAGCCUCCCCAGCACCAGCUGCUGCUUGCUGAUAGCUUCCCCACACCGAGAUCCUGCCUGCCUGCCUGCAUUCUGGCUGCAUCCACAGGCCCAGCGUCCCCCUCACAGUGGCUCAUUGGAGCCCAGCGCUUUCCUCAAAGUGGCUCAUUGGAGCCCAGCGUCCCCCUCACAGUGGCUCAUUGGAGCCCAGUGCUUUCCUUACAGUGGCUCAUUGGAGCCCAGCGCUUUUCUCACAGUGGCUCAUUGGAGCCCAGUGCUUUCCUUACAGUGGCUCAUUGGAGCCCAGUGCUUCCCUCACAGUGGCCCAUUGGGGCCCAGCUCAUGCCUGUGGCAAACCUCUCCGGACCCAGCUCUCGCCUCACUCUUGCCUUGAGUCUAGGCUCAGGCGCUCCCUCGCAGGGGUCUUCCUGAGCCCAGCUCGCCUAUCACAGACUCUCCCGAGCCAGCUCCUGCCUCCCGGCGGCCUGUCCAGGCCCAAAGCUUCCUCUCCGUGGCCACAUGGGGCCAAUCUGAUGCCUCCCGGUGGCCCUCCCGGGCCCAGCAUUGGCCUGAUGGCAUCCUCUCUGGGCCCAGAACGUCUUCAGAGAGGCCGGACUUGACAGACGCCAUCAUCCUCCGGAAAGGGGCCUCAGUGGAGCACAUGCCCAGCCCCAGGUCUCUGGGUGCCACCCUGGAGGUGUUGAACAAAUGAGGCCAUGCAAUGUCCCAUCUCUCUAAGACCUAGGCUUGAGAUCACAGCAGGAGGAGCCAAGAAGACUCACGAUCACCCUACUGAAUCCCUUCAGACACUCACAAGUGGCAAGCUGAGUAAAAUGGCACCAGCACCAAGUACAGUUCGCAGCGGGUGGGUCUGACCCACACCAUGGAGCAUGAGAAGGUCAUCCAGAUCGUGAAGAAGGAAUGGCGCCUGCCAGGCCUCCCGCCCACCUGCCUCAUCUCCCUGGGGGCGUCGGUCCUACUGGGACACACAAACACCCAAACAAAAAUACAAAUACACACACUUCUCUGACACUCGGGGUGGGGGCCCUUCCAGGAAGAAACCCCCUUGUGUCUUCCACUCAAGGCUCUCCAGGCUUGGAAGCAGAGCUUAGUGGCUUCAAAGGCCCAGCUGACACCCUCCACAGCCUAAGGGGUGUCAUAAAGUGCCUCCCUCUUUCUGACCCUCCCAGGGCAGCUCCUGCCCAGCACAAAACCCCCAGACCCUGGCUCUACACACCUGGGCCAGGGACUUCUGAGUUUAGAAUCUGUUUUCUAAGUCCCCAGUUCUCCUGGCUCUCCUUUCUGAAAUAAAGGAUUGAAAACCAUUCCUGUCCAGACUGAGAAGACUUUGUAACCUUGCUGAACAGUAGCCAGGUUGAGUCAGGUGGGCACAGGUCAAGCAUUGAGGGUAGCAGUGGGCCUGGGAGUUGGAGAGGGUGGAGCCUGGAUCCCCAGGGCAGCCCCAGGCCAUGGGUGGCAAGGAGAAUGCAGGGUUCCUCAGCCAGGCACAGGCAGGCUCUACCCAGGGAGUUGGUCAUGGGUGUCAGGCCCAGACUGGCCCCUCCAGAGGGACCUGGCUGCCAAGGUGGGCAGCAUCCCAGGAGGCCUUUGUGACCAUCUGGGUGGCAGGGAGGCUCCCCCAUGAGAACAAGGUGGCUGACCAUUUCCUGUUGCCUCAGAAGCCAGGAGGAGAGGGGCUGGCAGGGGCUCGUUGAGUACCUAUAAUGUGCCAGGGACAGUGCCGGCACCCCACGGUAUUCUACUGUCCCUUGGAAGCUGGUGCAGGUUGCACAGUUUUUAAAUGCAGAGCCUAGAUGUAAGACCUGUGAGCAGCAGCAAAGGCUUCCCGGAGGAGGUGUGCCUUUUCGGAGGGAUGCAGCAGGUUCUGUGAGGCUGUCAGGAGAGGUAGAGAGCUCCAGGGGGGCCUAGGGCCCAGCUGGAAUAUGGAGCAGGCCCAGGCCCGGGUCCUGGGCUGUUUGCAGCUCCGCUGUCAGCUGCUCAGUCUUUUCUAGAGACAAAACAGGAAUAAUAGACAUCAUUAAAUAUACAUGGGGCCCCAGGCGGUUGGCCUGGUGGGCUGGGCCUCCCUUCCCCAUAACACCGAGCUGCUCUGCUGGGCCGAUCGUGCUCCUGGGCCAGCCAGAGGACCCCCAUGUUGCGGCAUGCAGGCUGGGAGCAGGCCACAGGACCCUAGCCUUGAGUCCUUGGGGUUGGCCACUAGCUACCCUCCCAUCCCAGACUGCAGGGGCAGCAGCAGAGCUGGGGCCUUGCCCCUAACUCACCUUGAGGCCCUUCGCUGCCUCCCUUUGUUCAUCUGUGAGGGGUGUGAUGCCCACGCAGCCCCCUCCUGGUGAUGGUGGGAUACCAAGACAGGCAAGGGCUCCUUGGCCCCUCUCCCAACAGCCCUGAUGCCUGGCCGUGAGGCCCUAAGUGAGGGUUUCUACCUGGGUGGUGGCCAUUCCCACUUCCACUUUACAGGCAAGGGCUCUGGCCCUGGGUGAGGUGGGGAAGGCCUUGAGUUCACACAGUGUCAGGCUGAGUCUGGGCCUUGGGUUAGAUCCAGGCCUGUUCUGUCCCCCUGGCUGGCUGACAAGGGUGGGGGGAAAAUGAGGCCAGAGGCUGGGGGGUCCUCAGGCAGUGAGGGCUCGGGUGAGUGGCUCCUGCCACUGGGCUGCAUGUUCCUGGGCUAGGUCUGUUGUGUGUGGGAGUCAGGCAGGCACUACAGCUCUGUUGUGUCCUGGGCUUUCUGGAUCUGUGGGCAGGAUGGCUGUAUGGUCUACAUUUGCAUGUGAGAGAGUGAGCGAGAGAUCAUGCAGCCGUGUAUGCCCAGGUCAGUGUGAAGCAGUUCAUGGUGCCCUUAGGGCUGGGGAAGCUCCCUAAGACCCCCUCAAAGGUCCCAGACCCCCCCAACCUGAGCAAGCUCCAGGCUUGGGCCUCACCCUGUCAGCCACCUUGUUCUCAUCACUCAUGCUCCCUGGCAAUCACAGGCGAGGGUAUGCACCCUCACCCAGGCCAUGCCCAGGCAGCAGAGCUGCACUCAGCUCCCAGCUGGCAUCCCUGCAGCCUCCCGGGGGUCAUCUGCCCACAGCUUUAGAAGACUCAGGUACAGAGGAGCCAAAGAAAUGCAUAUUAUUCUGUCCCAUGCUUGUGCAUUCUCAUUCUCCUUCUUUUUUCCUCUCCAGCUUAGAUUCCACAGUUUUCUGUUUCAGAUCCCUACUUUGGCAAGAAAGCCAAGUCGAGAGCCUCUGCUUCCCACUCUGUCCUUCUCCUAGACGGCUCACCCCACCUCCAGCCUCCAUCUCGCCAGACCUGGGUCUGAGCAGCCUUUUUGACUCUCCACUGCACUGCCCCAUAGCCAUCCAAAUGCUCCAUGUCCCAGACCAAACAUGGCAUUCCCACCCCACCUGGCCUCACCUCAGAGACACUCCGCACACCCUCCAGCAGCACCAACCCAACCCCAAGUUCACCUGGCUCCCCCUCAUCCCAGCUCCAUCUAGCCCCUCACCGGGGCCAGCAUGUUUCACCUCAUCCUGAAUGUGUCCACUGGACUCCAUCACAGCAUGGUCCCAGUCACGCCACUGUCCCCGCUCCACUCUUUUCACAUGGUGGCCUGAGCUGCCUUUUCUCCUGCUUCCUAAGAAGCCAUGUGAGCCAGUGGUUGAGACCGUGGACACUCUGGAGCCAGAUUUCCCAGGCUCAACUCCACCUACAAGCUCUGUGGGCCCAUGUCCUCCUCUGCAAAGUGGGAAGAAUAAUCAUACCCACUUCAGGAGGUUGUAGUGAGUUGAGUUCUGUGUAGCCUGGCAGUUCUGAACACAGGCCUUGCCGUCACAGGUCCCAUUGCUUCCUCACUGUGGGCUCUCCGCUGAGGGAUCUAACCUGAGAUCAAGCCCUUCAUCUCUAAAAUGUGAAGAACAGUUGCUGUCCUACCUAUGUGAGAAUCUAGUGUGAUACUUCAGAAAAGCAUUUAGCACCAAGCCUGGCACACAGUAAACAUCUGGAAAUGUGGAACAGUGACCAAAGUCCCAUCCCUUCCAUGACUGAUUGGGCUAGUCCCUGCCUGCCACCCUGGCCGCCUCUCAUUUCACAUGCCCUCAAUCACUCUGCUCUAGCCAUAGACUGUCCCUGAAGCCCCUCUUACUACCUGGCCUUUGCACAUGCUGUUCCACUUGCCAGGAAUACUGUUCCCUCUUCCAUGUGAUCAGCUCCCUCUUAUCCUUAUCUUGGCUCAGGGUUGCCUUGUCGGGAGAGUCUUCCUGGACCUCCAAUGCAGUGUUCGCCCGUCUGGGGUCAUGCCCUGACCUUCACAGCUCUUCUUAUUGGUGUGACUCUUUGUUUAAAGCCUGCAUCCAGGAUAGGCAUGGUGGUUCAUACCUGUAAUCCCAACACUGGUAGGCUGAGGCAGGAGUAGUGCUUGGGGGCAGGGAGUUCAAGACCAGCCUGGGCAACUUAGUGGGACCCUGUCUCUACAAAAACUGAAAGCAGUAGCCAGGUGUGGUGGCACACACCUGUGGUCUCAGCUGCUCGGGCAGCUGAGGUGGGAGGAUUGCUUGAGCCUGAGAGCUCAAGGCUGCAGUGAGCUGUGAUUAUGUUACUGUACUCCAGCCUAAGCGACGGAACAAGACCCUGUCUCAAAAAACAAAAACAGAAAACAGUCUGUGUCCCCUACAACUCAGGGAACUUCAUGAGAGCAGAGAUCAGGUUUGCUUUCACUCCACUCUGCCAACCCUGAGUGCCCUGCAUAGUGCUUGGCACAUAACACAUGCACAACUAAUGCACAGCUAAUAUUUAAAGAAUCAAUAAAUGAGAGACUAGUAGCCUGACACCCACUCUGCCUGCACAGAGGUCAGGGACCCUGAGAGGGAGGCAGGACCUGGAACCUACCAGAGAAGGGGCAACCUCAGCUGACUUCUUGCCUGAGGUUCCAGAGACCAAGAGGGCUCAGGUGGGCAGGACUUGCUGCCAGCAGUCACCCAGACCAUCUCACUCAGAGCAGAGAGGCAGAGGCCUGUAGCAACGAUGUUGGCAGAUAUAACAGCUGCUUACCCAGGCCAGCCACUGUGACCGGCUCUCCACCAUUUCAUGUAAUGCCCAGGUCAGCCUUGGUAGGGGCGGUAUCUACACUCACGGAUGAGGAGACUAAUGCUGAGGCUGCAUGACUUGCUAUGGGUCUGAUCCAAGUGAGGAAUGAGACCUGACCCAGAGCUCUGAGCUGCGGGCCUCCUCAUCCCCUGGGCUAGAGCUGGGCUUGCCUCUCCGAGUGGCAGAUCUUCAUCUGGACAAUGGGGUUUUGCAGGGGAAAGAUGCCUGCCUGCGGGUUUGAGGCAUGACUUGGGCAAGCCCCUAGACAAUGGUGGCCUCUCUGCCUUUCUUUCUUUCUUUUUCUUUUUCUUUUCUUUUUUUUUUUUUUUUUUUUUUUGAGGAGAAAGAGAAUAAUAUUUAUUGGGCAUACCACACACAAGUUAGAUUUUUUUUAUUAUAAAUAGCACCAGUCGCUCUGACCCUGAUUUAUUUUUUUAUCUUUUUAUUGCAUUUUAGGUUGUGGGGUACAUGUGCAGAACAUGCAAGACAUUUGCAUAGGUACACACGUGGCAGUGUGUUUUGCUGCCUUCCUCCCCUUCACCCACAUUUGGCAUUCCUCUCAAACUUUCUUCUGGACAGACAAGGCUCCCUGCUUGGGGCAGACAGAAAGUACGGCUCUGGGAGGUGCUCCUGGUUCUGAAGAGCCAGCCCUGCCCCACUUUUCCCCAGCAAGUCUUCUGACCUCCCUCUGCCUCACUUUCAACAAAUGUUAUGUGGCUGUGGGGGUGGAGUUGCAUCUGUGACAUCUCAGGCCCUGACAUUCUUCCUGAGAGCCUGUCUAAAGUGGUGUUUCCACUCACUGUCUCCAAUUUUUUUUUCCAUUUUCACAUUUACAGUGUUGUCGGGGGUGGGGACAGUGUCUCGCUCUGUCUCUCAGGCUGGAGUAUAGUGGCACAAUCUCGGCUCUCGGCAGCCUCCACCUCCCAGGUUCAAGUGAUUCUCCUGCCUCAGCCACCACACUGUGCAUGCCUUUAGCUGGGAUUACAGUGACUUCGAUAGACUCUGCUCCAGCUGCUGUCAAAUCAGAAUCUCAUUCCUCGCCAAAAAAGGAUUCUCUUUCUUCAGAUGUCACUAGCAAACUAUUACAAAUACGCAGUCCUUCAGCUGAAAAUAAGAGACCUAAAUGGGUCCCACCAGCGGCAUCUGGAGGUAGCAGAAAUAGCAGCAGCCCACUGGCAGUAGUGUCUGUGAAGUCUCCGAAUCAGAGUCUCCGUCUUGGCUUGUCCAGAUUAGCACGAGUUAAACCUUUGCAUCCGAAUGCCACUAGCAGCUGAGUGUGGUACCAGAGGAAUGUUUGGUUGAGAGAAUUGCAGCUUUACAAGGGUGUUUAUAUUUAAUUUGUGUUUAUAUUUGGGGCAGGUAUUGUCAUAUAAAGGAAUCCAUUACCAUGUCCUAUAAAUGAUCUCUAGCUAUUUUAAGUUUAUGUUCUCUGUAAAGCUCUUUAAGCCUUCAGUGAGUUUUGUUUAUAAGAACUGUCUUCUCAUGCCUUUCCUUGUGAAAAGCAUAUUCUAUUUUUCUAUCAGUUCUACAUGAAGGAAGUCCACAUCACAUGCUGUUCUUUUCUAGUUACAUGAUGUGCCUUUCUGGCUUUAGCUAGUUUAUAGCACCUUAACUGUUCAGUUUUAUGUAGCAGAGGAAACAUUCUUAUUUUUCAGAAGACAUUUCUGAAAUCUUAUAUGCUACUGAAGCUACCUUGUCAGUUUUAUUGCAAAGGUUUUUUGUAUUUUAGCCAAAUCUUUUUAUAGUAUGAAUUUGGAAAUAUUUUACACACUAAAAUGGUUGUGGUUUUAUGGAUGCAUCUCCUAUGUAGAUGGUUAUUCUAUAGCAAAUAGAAUUUAAAGACAUUUUAUUAAAUCUUCAUUGUCAAAACCUUUAAUAAAAGUGGAUAUAUUUUGAAAUGCUCUUUUUCUUGAUGCCACUACAUUCACCUGUUCCUGAUUGUCCACAUUUCAUGAUAAAAUGAGAGCUCUGCAGAGAAUGUUACCCUUUUUGUUGUAAAUAUGAACAAGGGAAAGCUGUUUCUUCAAGUAGUAACUUUUUGUUAAAUUCUUUAGAAAGCAGUUGUCAAGCACUUAGUCAUCCCUAUUGUGAUAUUAGAUAAUACAGGUUUUCAGGAAGCUUAGAUUUGAAUUUAUGUUAAAAAACAAUUUAUGUUGAAAAACAAUUAAUAUUUCAUAUUCAUGGUGAAAAUUUCAACUAGCUUCUGAUCAAUUUUUAAUAAAAAAUUUCAAAUCAUGUUAACUUAAAAAAUAUAUAAUACUUAACUCAGUUUUCUUGGUUUAUUGAAAUAUCCAUGUUAAUGUGAAAACAAUUAAUUUAGAAUUGUGAUUAAAGUGAGCAU